GGCGCAGACUCAGUCGUAGCAAGGUAGCCGUAGAGUUUGAUACUGGCUCUAUGUCUGGGAAACUGCCUGAUGGAGGGGGAUAACUACUGGAAACGGUAGCUAAUACCGCAUAACGUCGCAAGACCAAAGUGGGGGACCUUCGGGCCUCAUGCCAUCAGAUGUGCCCAGAUGGGAUUAGCUAGUAGGUGGGGUAACGGCUCACCUAGGCGACGAUCCCUAGCUGGUCUGAGAGGAUGACCAGCCACACUGGAACUGAGACACGGUCCAGACUCCUACGGGAGGCAGCAGUGGGGAAUAUUGCACAAUGGGCGCAAGCCUGAUGCAGCCAUGCCGCGUGUGUGAAGAAGGCCUUCGGGUUGUAAAGCACUUUCAGCGGGGAGGAAGGCGAUGAGGUUAAUAACCUCGUCGAUUGACGUUACCCGCAGAAGAAGCACCGGCUAACUCCGUGCCAGCAGCCGCGGUAAUACGGAGGGUGCAAGCGUUAAUCGGAAUUACUGGGCGUAAAGCGCACGCAGGCGGUCUGUCAAGUCGGAUGUGAAAUCCCCGGGCUCAACCUGGGAACUGCAUUCGAAACUGGCAGGCUAGAGUCUUGUAGAGGGGGGUAGAAUUCCAGGUGUAGCGGUGAAAUGCGUAGAGAUCUGGAGGAAUACCGGUGGCGAAGGCGGCCCCCUGGACAAAGACUGACGCUCAGGUGCGAAAGCGUGGGGAGCAAACAGGAUUAGAUACCCUGGUAGUCCACGCCGUAAACGAUGUCGAUUUGGAGGUUGUGCCCUUGAGGCGUGGCUUCCGGAGCUAACGCGUUAAAUCGACCGCCUGGGGAGUACGGCCGCAAGGUUAAAACUCAAAUGAAUUGACGGGGGCCCGCACAAGCGGUGGAGCAUGUGGUUUAAUUCGAUGCAACGCGAAGAACCUUACCUGGUCUUGACAUCCACAGAACUUUCCAGAGAUGGAUUGGUGCCUUCGGGAACUGUGAAACAGGUGCUGCAUGGCUGUCGUCAGCUCGUGUUGUGAAAUGUUGGGUUAAGUCCCGCAACGAGCGCAACCCUUAUCCUUUGUUGCCAGCGGUCCGGCCGGGAACUCAAAGGAAACUGCCAGUGAUAAACU
rnacentral:rRNA from 1 species